GUGUCAGCAGCCGCGGUAAUACGUAGGGUGCAAGCGUUGUCCGGAAUUAUUGGGCGUAAAGAGCUCGUAGGCGGUUCGUCGCGUCGGCUGUGAAAUCCCGAGGCUCAACCUCGGGUCUGCAGUCGAUACGGGCGGACUGGAGUUCGGCAGGGGAGACUGGAAUUCCUGGUGUAGCGGUGAAAUGCGCAGAUAUCAGGAGGAACACCGGUGGCGAAGGCGGGUCUCUGGGCCGAUACUGACGCUGAGGAGCGAAAGCGUGGGGAGCGAACAGGAUUAGAUACCCUGGUAGUCCACGCCGUAAACGUUGGGCGCUAGGUGUGGGGGCCAUUCCACGGUCUCCGUGCCGCAGCUAACGCAUUAAGCGCCCCGCCUGGGGAGUACGGCCGCAAGGCUAAA
rnacentral:rRNA from 1 species